rnacentral:rRNA from 1 species
UGAAUAUACCGGUUCUCGUUAGAUCACCGAAGUUAAGCAUCAUUGGGCGCGGUCAGUACUUGGGUGGGUGACCACCUGGAAACACUGCGUGCCGUU